rnacentral:rRNA from 1 species
GACGAACGCUGGCGGCGUGCUUAACACAUGCAAGUCGAACGGAAAGGCCCUGCUUUUGUGGGGUGCUCGAGUGGCGAACGGGUGAGUAACACGUGAGUAACCUGCCCUUGACUUUGGGAUAAUUUCAGGAAACUGGGGCUAAUACCGGAUAGGAGCUCCUGCUGCAUGGUGGGGGUUGGAAAGUUUCGGCGGUUGGGGAUGGACUCGCGGCUUAUCAGCUUGCUGGUGGGGUAGUGGCUUACCAAGGCUUUGACGGGUAGCCGGCCUGAGAGGGUGACCGGCCACAUUGGGACUGAGAUACGGCCCAGACUCCUACGGGAGGCAGCAGUGGGGAAUAUUGCACAAUGGGCGGAAGCCUGAUGCAGGAACGCCGCGUGCGGGAUGACGGCCUUCGGGUUGUAAACCGCUUUCGCCUGUGACGAAGCGUGAGUGACGGUAAUGGGUAAAGAAGCACCGGCUAACUACGUG